rnacentral:lncRNA from 1 species
CCUGGUGAAAAAUUUGUUUGCUUAGAGACUUAAAAAUUCCUAUAGAGUGGAAAGGAGUGUCUACAUACACAUCACCACCACCACUGCCAGAGAAUCCCUGGGCCCUGGGCCCUAUGGCAACCUCUUCCUGACCUAAACCCCAUCAGAGGACGUCUGGGAACUCAGCCAGUUCGUGAACUCCUUGAGGGCAUCAACUCUGCUUGGCUCCAGAGCGUCAACCUUCUUUGAAGAUAUUAAGAAUGUGGUUAAUUAUCAGCCUGCUCCAUUUGUUUUUCAGCUGAAGCUUAGCCUCAGAUCUCAGUUUCCUUGCCUCUAGAUUAUUUUCUUGGAUUCGUGAGUGACACCUCAUUGGAGUCAGGAAAAGUCUUUACAUCGAAGUACCUUCUAUGUGCUGAAUGGGAAAAGUAAGAGGCACCUCUGCCCUGGUGUUCGGCCUCUGGACCUUCGGAGCAAUGGGGACAGAGGCUGCUGGCACUGCCACUGGAAGACAGAAUUCGAUCCAAGUCUCAAUGAUCCUUGAAGUCCUCUGCAUGUUCUUAGAGAGUCUGAGCGAGCAUCACUUCAGAUGUGGUGAGAAGCCGAAAUGGAAACUAUUACAUCAAAACAUUUCAUUUGAUGAGGGGACUGUUUGGAAAAAUCCUAAUUUUUUUAAGGAACAAAGAGAAGUUGAUGAAAGGAUUUGAGGUUAGAAUGACCAAAGUCUGCACUGCCUCCCUUCCCUCCCCCACCCUUCUUCCAAAAUGGAGAAAAGAAAUCAAGCCAGAGAAAUGUCUAACUAUUCUAAAUCUGGCAGGCCAAGCUUUCAGCUUGGAUAGCGUGCAGUAGUGAUACCUUUUAAUUACAAUUGUAUAACUAUGAAUAAGCAAGAAAUGAAAAGAUGAAAAUGUGGUUUGUAAUGAAAUUACCAUAAAAACCAUGGCAAACUUUAAAGUCAUCAUGAAAAUUCAUAAUACAAAAACAUGGAUGUGGAGGUUAACUUCCACCAAGACUAGAAAUUAAAAUUUUGUGGAUUCGUGGUCUUCCUUGUUAGCUUGGUAUUUCCUCCUAAGUACACAUAAGCACUAUUAGUCAUGCAGACCAAACAGACAUUUAGAGUCAGAGCCCUGGUUGGCAGCCCUCAUGUUCUCCAAGCCACUUGGGCAGGCUGACAUAGAAAUGACUUGGGUUCCAAAAACAAAUGGUG